GACGAACGCGGGCGGCGUGCCUAAUACAUGCAAGUUGAGCGCUGAAGGUUGGUACUUGUACCGACUGGAUGAGCAGCGAACGGGUGAGUAACGCGUGGGGAAUCUGCCUUUGAGCGGGGGACAACAUUUGGAAACGAAUGCUAAUACCGCAUAAAAACUUUAAACACAAGUUUUAAGUUUGAAAGAUGCAAUUGCAUCACUCAAAGAUGAUCCCGCGUUGUAUUAGCUAGUUGGUGAGGUAAAGGCUCACCAAGGCGAUGAUACAUAGCCGACCUGAGAGGGUGAUCGGCCACAUUGGGACUGAGACACGGCCCAAACUCCUACGGGAGGCAGCAGUAGGGAAUCUUCGGCAAUGGACGAAAGUCUGACCGAGCAACGCCGCGUGAGUGAAGAAGGUUUUCGGAUCGUAAAACUCUGUUGGUAGAGAAGAACGUUGGUGAGAGUGGAAAGCUCAUCAAGUGACGGUAACUACCCAGAAAGGGACGGCUAACUACGUGCCAGCAGCCGCGGUAAUACGUAGGUCCCGAGCGUUGUCCGGAUUUAUUGGGCGUAAAGCGAGCGCAGGUGGUUUAUUAAGUCUGGUGUAAGAGGCAGUGGCUCAACCAUUGUAUGCAUUGGAAACUGGUAGACUUGAGUGCAGGAGAGGAGAGUGGAAUUCCAUGU
rnacentral:rRNA from 1 species